AUUGAACGCUGGCGGCAUGCUUUACACAUGCAAGUCGAACGGCUGCGCGGGCUUCGGCCUUGCGGCGAGUGGCGAACGGGUGAGUAAUGCAUCGGAACGUGCCCAGUAGUGGGGGAUAGCCCGUCGAAAGCCGGAUUAAUACCGCAUACGACCUGAGGGUGAAAGCGGGGGACCGAAAGACCUCGCGCUAUUGGAGCGGCCGAUGUCGGAUUAGCUAGUUGGUGGGGUAAAGGCUUACCAAGGCGACGAUCCGUAGCUGGUCUGAGAGGACGACCAGCCACACUGGAACUGAGACACGGCCCAGACUCCUACGGGAGGCAGCAGUGGGGAAUGUUGGACAAUGGGGGAAACCCUGAUCCAGCCAUGCCGCGUGCGGGAAGAAGGCCUUCGGGUUGUAAACCGCUUUUGUUCGGGAAGAAAGCCUCUGGGCUAAUACCCCGGGGGGAUGACGGUACCGGAAGAAUAAGCACCGGCUAACUACGUG
rnacentral:rRNA from 1 species